ACGAACGCUGGCGGCGUGCUUAACACAUGCAAGUCGAACGGAAAGGCCCUGCUUUUGUGGGGUGCUCGAGUGGCGAACGGGUGAGUAACACGUGAGUAACCUGCCCUUGACUUUGGGAUAACUUCAGGAAACUGGGGCUAAUACCGGAUAGGAGCUCCUGCUGCAUGGUGGGGGUUGGAAAGUUUCGGCGGUUGGGGAUGGACUCGCGGCUUAUCAGCUUGUUGGUGGGGUAGUGGCUUACCAAGGCUUUGACGGGUAGCCGGCCUGAGAGGGUGACCGGCCACAUUGGGACUGAGAUACGGCCCAGACUCCUACGGGAGGCAGCAGUGGGGAAUAUUGCACAAUGGGCGGAAGCCUGAUGCAGCAACGCCGCGUGCGGGAUGACGGCCUUCGGGUUGUAAACCGCUUUCGCCUGUGACGAAGCGUGAGUGACGAUAAUGGGUAAAGAAGCACCGGCUAACUACGUG
rnacentral:rRNA from 1 species